GACAGAGGGUGCAAACGUUGUUCGGAAUUACUGGGCGUAAAGCGUGUGUAGGCGGCCACGUAAGUCGGAUGUGAAAGCCCCGGGCUCAACCCGGGAAGUGCACUCGAUACUGCGUGGCUUGAGUACUGGAGAGGUUGGUGGAAUUCUCGGUGUAGAGGUGAAAUUCGUAGAUAUCGAGAGGAACACCGGUGGCGAAGGCGGCCAACUGGACAGAUACUGACGCUGGAGGAGCGAAAGCGUGGGGAACGAACAGG
rnacentral:rRNA from 1 species